rnacentral:rRNA from 1 species
UCCUACGGGAGAAAGCAGGGGACCUUCAGGCCUUGCGCUAUCAGAUGAGCCUAGGUCGGAUUAGCUAGUUGGUGGGGUAAUGGCUCACCAAGGCGACGAUCCGUAACUGGUCUGAGAGGAUGAUCAGUCACACUGGAACUGAGACACGGUCCAGACUCCUACGGGAGGCAGCAGUGGGGAAUAUUGGACAAUGGGCGAAAGCCUGAUCCAGCCAUGCCGCGUGUGUGAAGAAGGUCUUCGGAUUGUAAAGCACUUUAAGUUGGGAGGAAGGGCAUUAACCUAAUACGUUAGUGUUUUGACGUUACCGACACACUAAGCACCGGCUAACUCUGUGCCAGCAGCCGCGGUAAUACAGAGGGUGCAAGCGUUAAUCGGAAUUACUGGGCGUAUAGCGCGCGUAGGUGGUUCGUUAAGUUGGAUGUGAUAGCCCCGGGCUCAACCUGGGAACUGCAUUCAAAACUGUCGAGCUAGAGUAUGGUAGAGGGUGGUGGAAUUUCCUGUGUAGCGGUGAAGUGCGUAGAUAUAGGAUGGAACACCACUGGCGAAGGCGACCACCUGGACUGAUACUGACACUGAGGUGCGAAAACAUGGGGAGCAGACAGGAUUAGAUACCCUGGUAGUCCACGCCGUAACGAUGUCAACUAGCCGUUGGGAGCCUUGAGCUCUUAGUGGCGCAGCUAACCAUUAAGUUGACCGCCUGGUGAGUACGGCCGCAGGUUAAAACUCAAUGAAUUGACGGGGGCCCGCCCACCGUGGAGCAUGAGGUUUAUUCGAAGCAACGCGAAGAA